GACGAACGCUGGCGGCGUGCCUAAUACAUGCAAGUCGAACGCUGAAGGAGGAGCUUGCUUCUCUGGAUGAGUUGCGAACGGGUGAGUAACGCGUAGGUAACCUGCCUGGUAGCGGGGGAUAACUAUUGGAAACGAUAGCUAAUACCGCAUAAGAGUAGAUGUUGCAUGACAUUUGCUUAAAAGGUGCAAUUGCAUCACUACCAGAUGGACCUGCGUUGUAUUAGCUAGUUGGUGAGGUAACGGCUCACCAAGGCAACGAUACAUAGCCGACCUGAGAGGGUGAUCGGCCACACUGGGACUGAGACACGGCCCAGACUCCUACGGGAGGCAGCAGUAGGGAAUCUUCGGCAAUGGACGGAAGUCUGACCGAGCAACGCCGCGUGAGUGAAGAAGGUUUUCGGAUCGUAAAGCUCUGUUGUAAGAGAAGAACGAGUGUGAGAGUGGAAAGUUCACACUGUGACGGUAUCUUACCAGAAAGGGACGGCUAACUACGUG
rnacentral:rRNA from 1 species